rnacentral:rRNA from 1 species
UGGGGGAUAUUGGACAAUGGGCGAAAGCCUGAUCCAGCCAUGCCGCGUGUGUGAAGAAGGUCUUCGGAUUGUAAAGCACUUUAAGUUGGGAGGAAGGGCAGUAAGCGAAUACCUUGCUGUUUUGACGUUACCGACAGAACAAGCACCGGCUAACUCUGUGCCAGCAGCCGCGGUAAUACAGAGGGUGCAAGCGUUAAUCGGAAUUACUGGGCGUAAAGCGCGCGUAGGUGGUUCGUUAAGUUGAAUGUGAAAGCCCCGGGCUCAACCUGGGAACUGCAUUCGAUACUGGUUAGCUAGAGUGUGGGAGAGGAUGGUAGAAUUCCAGGUGUAGCGGUGAAAUGCGUAAAGAUCUGGAGGAAUACCGAUGGCGAAGGCAGCCAUCUGGCCUAACACUGACGCUGAGGUACGAAAGCAUGGGGAGCAAACAGG